AGUAAUCACUGCUCUUUGUGAUCUUCAAUGCCGUUCUUCACUCAAAAACCUCAAAGCGCAAAGAAUUUUUCUGAGGCAGAAAGCCACGCACAGUGGAGCUGUUUGUGCAUUGAGGGCAAUCUCCUUUGGCUUUUUUGA
rnacentral:lncRNA from 1 species